rnacentral:rRNA from 1 species
AGGUAUCAGAAGUGCGAAUGCUGACAUGAGUAGCGUUAAAGGGGGUGAAAAGCCCCCUCGCCGUAAGCGCAAGGUUUUCUACGCAACGUUCAUCGGCGUAGAGUGAGUCGGCCCCUAAGGCGAGGCAGAGAUGCGUAGCUGAUGGGAAACAGGUCAAUAUUCCUGUACCGAUUACAAGUGCGAUGUGGGGACGGAGAAGGUUAGCUCAGCCAACUGUUGGAUAUGUUGGUUCAAGCCUGUAGUCGUGCCCGGUAGGCAAAUCCGCCGGGCUUAGAUGAGGGGUGAUAAGGAGUCUGCUUGCAGACGAACUGAGUGAUACCCUGCUUCCAGGAAAAGCCACUAAGCUUCAGCUUGUAACGACCGUACCGCAAACCGACACUGGUGCGCGAGAUGAGUAUUCUAAGGCGCUUGAGAGAACUCUGGAGAAGGAACUCGGCAAAUUGAUACCGUAACUUCGGGAGAAGGUAUGCCCCUAGUAGGUGAACUCGAACAGAGGGAGCCCAAUGGGGUUGCAAAAAAUCGGUGGCUGCGACUGUUUAAUAAAAACACAGCACUCUGCAAACACGAAAGUGGACGUAUAGGGUGUGACGCCUGCCCGGUGCUGGAAGAUUAAAUGAUGGGGUGCAAGCUCUUGAUUGAAGUCCCAGUAAACGGCGGCCGUAACUAUAACGGUCCUAAGGUAGCGAAAUUCCUUGUCGGGUAAGUUCCGACCUGCACGAAUGGCGUAACGAUGGCCACACUGUCUCCUCCAGAGACUCAGCGAAGUUGAAAUGUUUGUGAUGAUGCAAUCUCCCCGCGGAAAGACGGAAAGACCCCAUGAACCUUUACUGUAGCUUUGUAUUGGACUUUGAACAGAUCUGUGUAGGAUAGGUGGGAGGCUUUGAAGCCGGGACGCUAGUCUCGGUGGAGCCAACGUUGAAAUACCACCCUGGUGUGUUUGAGGUUCUAACCUAGGUCCAUUAUCUGGAUCGGGGACAGUGCAUGGUAGGCAGUUUGACUGGGGCGGUCUCCUCCCAAAGCGUAACGGAGGAGUUCGAAGGUACGCUAGUUACGGUCGGACAUCGUGACGAUAGUGCAAUGGCAUAAGCGUGCUUAACUGCGAGACUGACAAGUCGAGCAGAUGCGAAAGCAGGACAUAGUGAUCCGGUGGUUCUGUAUGGAAGGGCCAUCGCUCAACGGAUAAAAGGUACUCUGGGGAUAACAGGCUGAUA